UCGGAAGGUGCGGCUGGAUCACCUCCUUUCUGGAAAACAAGCACUCAAAUUCUUGCGCCCACCCUUAUCGGCUGUAAAUUGACAACAGUGGAAGUGCACGUGAGCCUGGCUGAGUCGUCGGAUGGCUGAGCCAGCUGACGCAGCGAAAAACAAGAUCGACGACGGGCUCACGACAAACGCGCGAAGCGGUUAACGUGGGUCUGUAGCUCAGUCGGUUAGAGCACCGUCUUGAUAAGGCGGGGGUCGUUGGUUCGAAUCCAACCAGACCCACCACACGUUGACGUGGGGGAUUAGCUCAGCUGGGAGAGCACCUGCUUUGCAAGCAGGGGGUCGUCGGUUCGAUCCCGUCAUCCUCCACCACUUCCUGAUGUCGAUGCAAACCCAAGCAGCUGCCGUGUGCGGCUGCUUGGCUUUGCCAUCGCAAGUUGGCUGUUGUUCUUUAACAAUUCAUAGAGUCGAAUCUACGUUGUCGACGGAAAGUGCACCGGGGGUAAAGGCCUGGAGCACACCGUGCCGUCGACAGCAUUAUGAUUGCGUCAACAGAUACUUCAGCUCAGCUGUAUCGUCAGAUACACGAGUUUGAAGCGGCAUAACGCGAAAUACUCAACUCUGGCCGAUUAGUCGUCGGUCAGGGAGCAGUCCUUGACGAUGUCCUGCGGGACGUCAAAGUUAUAGGGUCAAGUGACUAAGUGCAUGU
rnacentral:tRNA from 1 species